rnacentral:snoRNA from 1 species
CUCCCUCUCUUGAUGAAAAGAAUUACGGAUAUAAUGAGUCUCAUGAUUCGCACGUCCGAGAGCGCAAAACUAUGUGGAUUAUUCCGUUGCCUUCCUUCUGAUCUUUC